UCCUCUUUACAGAGGCAGUUUGUCCCAAGUCCCCGCCACGGAUUGCUCCGCGCGCUGGUAACAGAACAUGAGGGUUGCGCUCGUUGCGGGACUUAACCCAACAUUUCACAACACGAGCUGACGACAGCCAUGCACCACCUGUGCACCACCCUCGAAGGCUGAUGGCUUUCACCACCGUGCAGGUGCAUGUCAAGCCCUGGUAAGGUUCUUCGCGUUGCAUCGAAUUAAGCCACAUGCUCCACCGCUUGUGCGGGCCCCCGCCAAUUCCUUUGAGUUUCAACCUUGCGGCCGUAGUCCCCAGGCGGCUCACUUAAUGCGUUAGCUGCGGCACCGAGGGUAACCCCCGACACCUAGUGAGCAUCGUUUAUGGCCAAGACUAC
rnacentral:misc_RNA from 1 species